AGAGGGUGCGAGCGUUAAUCGGAAUUACUGGGCGUAAAGCGCACGUAGGCGGCUUGGUAUGUCGGGUGUGAAAUCCCCGGGCUCAACCUGGGAACUGCAUCCGAAACUGCCUUGCUCGAGUAUGGGAGAGGGAAGUGGAAUUUCCGGUGUAGCGGUGAAAUGCGUAGAUAUCGGAAGGAACACCAGUGGCGAAGGCGACUUCCUGGACCAAUACUGACGCUCAGGUGCGAAAGCGUGGGGAGCAAACAGGAUUAGAUACCCUGGUAGUCCACGCCCUAAACGAUGAGAACUGGAUGUCGGGAGGGUCUGCCUUCCGGUGUCGUAGCUAACGCGUUAAGUUCUCCGCCUGGGAAGUACGGCCGCAAGGUUG
rnacentral:rRNA from 1 species